rnacentral:rRNA from 1 species
UGGGGAAUCUUCCGCAAUGGACGAAAGUCUGACGGAGCAACGCCGCGUGAGUGAAGAAGGUUUUCGGAUCGUAAAACUCUGUCUUUUGGGGCGAACGUGAGUAUGGUGAACAAUCAUAGUCAGUGACGGUACCAAAGGAGGAAGCCACGGCUAACUACGUGCCAGCAGCCGCGGUAAUACGUAGGUGGCAAGCGUUGUCCGGAAUUAUUGGGCGUAAAGAGCGCGUAGGCGGGAUAGUCAGUCUGUUGUAAAGUGCGGGGCUCAACCCCGUGAUCGCAAUGGAAACAGCUAUUCUUGAGUGCAGGAGAGGAAAGUGGAAUUCCCAGUGUAGCGGUGAAAUGCGUAGAUAUUGGGAGGAACACCAGUGGCGAAGGCGACUUUCUGGACUGUGUCUGACGCUGAGGCGCGAAAGCCGGGGGGAGCGAACGGGAUUUAGAUACCCCCGGUAGUCCUGGCCGUAAACGAUGGGUA